GACGAACGCUGGCGGCGUGCUUAACACAUGCAAGUCGAACGAAGAGCGACGGAAGCUUGCUUCUAUCAAUCUUAGUGGCGAACGGGUGAGUAACGCGUAAUCAACCUGCCCUUCAGAGGGGGACAACAGUUGGAAGCGACUGCUAAUACCGCAUACGAUCUAAUCUCGGCACCGAGGAUGGAUGAAAGGUGGCCUCUACAUGUAAGCUAUCACUGAAGGAGGGGAUUGCGUCUGAUUAGCUAGUUGGAGGGGUAACGGCCCACCAAGGCGAUGAUCAGUAGCCGGUCUGAGAGGAUGAACGGCCACAUUGGGACUGAGACACGGCCCAGACUCCUACGGGAGGCAGCAGUGGGGAAUCUUCCGCAAUGGACGAAAGUCUGACGGAGCAACGCCGCGUGAGGGAUGACGGCCUUCGGGUUGUAAAGCUCUGUUAAUCGGGACGAAAGGCCUUCUUGCGAAUAGUGAGAAGGAUUGACGGUACCGGAAUAGAAAGCCACGGCUAACUACGUG
rnacentral:rRNA from 1 species